UUGUUUGAUCCUGGCUCAGAACGAACGCUGGCGGCAGGCCUAACACAUGCAAGUCGAGCGCCUCUUCGGGGGAGCGGCGGACGGGUUAGUAACGCGUGGGAAUAUACCCUUUGGUACGGAAUAGCCUCUGGAAACGGAGAGUAAUACCGUAUGAGCCCUUCGGGGGAAAGAUUUAUCGCCAAAGGAUUAGCCCGCGUUAGAUUAGGUAGUUGGUGGGGUAAUGGCCUACCAAGCCUACGAUCUAUAGCUGGUUUUAGAGGAUGAUCAGCAACACUGGGACUGAGACACGGCCCAGACUCCUACGGGAGGCAGCAGUGGGGAAUCUUGGACAAUGGGGGCAACCCUGAUCCAGCCAUGCCGCGUGAGUGAUGAAGGCCUUAGGGUCGUAAAGCUCUUUCGCCUGUGAAGAUAAUGACGGUAGCAGGUAAAGAAACCCCGGCUAACUCCGUGCCAGCAGCCGCGGUAAUACGGAGGGGGUUAGCGUUGUUCGGAAUUACUGGGCGUAAAGCGCACGUAGGCGGACUGGAAAGUUGGGGGUGAAAUCCCAGGGCUCAACCCUGGAACUGCCUCCAAAACUAUCAGUCUAGAGUUCGAGAGAGGUGAGUGGAAUUCCGAGUGUAGAGGUGAAAUUCGUAGAUAUUCGGAGGAACACCAGUGGCGAAGGCGGCUCACUGGCUCGAUACUGACGCUGAGGUGCGAAAGUGUGGGGAGCAAACAGGAUUAGAUACCCUGGUAGUCCACACCGUAAACGAUGAAUGCCAGUCGUCGGGUAGCAUGCUAUUCGGUGACACACCUAACGGAU
rnacentral:rRNA from 1 species